AAGACUAUAGACCUGCGGAGUACCUGCGGAAGGAUCAUUAUCGUAUUGUAACAAUUGGGGGGGCCACCGUGGGCUGUCGCUGACCCUUUGAAAGGGGGGUCGUGCACGCCCCCAUAGUGUCAUCCUCAUACAAUCCAACUCACCUCAGUGCAUCACCGCGUGGGUUCCUUUCUGGGUCGAGUCAGACUGGCUCAGAAAAAAGGGGCUUGCGUUUUCCAUACAAAUACCCUUAUAAAUCCA
rnacentral:misc_RNA from 1 species